rnacentral:lncRNA from 1 species
GAGAGGCAGCUGCUGAGAACUCACACAGACCCAUGAUCACACAGGACCGAGACACUAAUGAAUAGGUGUUGGUGCCUUUCCCCAGAUUAGCUCUCCCAAUUUUGGAGUGGCCAAAGGAUGGGGGAUAUGUCCUCCCUCCUGCCACACAAUCUGGUUUAUAACUAAAUCUAACCCCAUCCUUGUGAGCAUUUUCUUUUCUCCCUGCUGAAAUGCUUGUGGUGUUUUUUGGGAGCUAGUAGCAGGCCCCAGCAUCCUUUGAUUGCCCCCUAAUGGAAUCUCUUUGAUGACUGAGGAGGAUGAAGGAGAGAGGAAUCCGGGCCAUGACAGAGAUGGCCCCAGUUCUCUAAUUUUUGAGGCACUCACUAUGUCUGCAAUUGAGACCUCUAUUCCCCAAGAGUCCCUUAUUCUGUCUUUGUUAAAUUUCAGAAUGUACAUUUGUUCCUGCUGUGUGAUUGUCCAUCUGUCUGUGCCUGGACAACCACUCCAUCCCCACUGGAUGCAGUAAACAGCACCACUGCCCACUGGCAUUGUGAACCUGGUGUCCAUCACUGAGCUCUGCUGGGGAUAGUCUAUGUGGCAGCUGCUGUAGCUCUUGCUCAGAGUGCUGGAUCCCAGAGUAUUGCAGAAGCCCAAGUGGCCAGACCUAGAGCAAGAGCCCAAAAUCAGAACCCUGCAAGCUGGAGACCAGCAGGCAUUACCAUCUGGGGCUCCCGUAGGAGCUGGCGGUGCCAGGCCACGCUGUCCACUCGACUCUGCUGCUUGUUCCAGUGCAUGAGGAGGUGACCUUAACUUCCAGACAAUGUGGCCAGAUGAGGGAACACAGACUGCAUGGAGGACCUUGGAAGAGUUUGCGGGGCACAGCCCUGCUGGCACAAAGCCUGACACAGAAGGACACAGACACCCCUGCACGGUGAACAGUGACUGAUACUUGUCAUUUACAAGCCUCUUCUUCAGCUCAUCCCCAUGUUGAAAGCAAGAGCUGCUGAGGUAGGGUUACAUGCUGCCAAAAAUGAAAACUGAGGUUCAGAGAGUAUGUGAUUGCUUCAAUGGGCCCAGAGUAGUGAUGAGUUAUCCCCAGUGCUGAUGUGACAAAAUCUUGCCAUUCUACUCAUAGUGUUGCUUCUUCCAGGGCAGUGGAUGUAGGAGUCUCUUCUGGGAGCUGAACCUUUGCAGGAGGCUGGACUAGCAGGGAGAGAUGCAGAGAACUGUGGGCACAGGACAGGGUCCACCGAUUGCGAAAGCAAGAAUGGAAUGAGAAGUAUGAGCAAUGGAUCGAUAUACUAGUCGAACUGAAAUAAGAUAUUGUCAGAACUAUUUGUCCAAGGAAAAUCAGAUGUUCACAACAGAAGUUACAUUCUGAGCUAGAUUUAUCAGAGCCUCCAGCCAGGAUCACUGCACCAGGCCUAGAGAGCAGAGGGAAGAUUUGUGUCUCACUUUCCCAUGGGCCUGGAGCCCUGUGUAAGCCUCAGAGCCACUGUGAAAUCCACUGCCCCUGUGCAGACCCCGAGACAGACCCAUUCUCAGGCUGCAGCACAGCAACGUGCAAAAUCCUUGCACAGGCCGACGCAUCUUUAGAUCCCAAGAUGUGGCUGGGAGCCUCAGAGCCCUGUUUCUUACUUGAGUCCAAGUAGAAGUUCACGAGAUAUUAGAUAGGGUUCCCUGGAUUCUGCCAGAACCAGUCACCGAUUUCUUCUGAUGGAAUCACUGAUUCAUUGUGGUGAUUAUCCAAGGGUGUAUAAAUAUCUUAAAACACACAAAAUUGGGCACUUUAAAUAUCAGGGGUUUAUUUUGUUAAUUAUUCCUCAAUAAAAAGACACAUAAAAAAUAGGCUGAAA